rnacentral:rRNA from 1 species
CCUACGGGAGGCAGCAGUGGGGAAUAUUGGACAAUGGGGGCAACCCUGAUCCAGCCAUGCCGCGUGUGUGAAGAAGGCCCUCGGGUUGUAAAGCACUUUCAGUGAGGAAGAACGCCUGGUGGUUAAUACCCAUCAGGAAAGACAUCACUCACAGAAGAAGCACCGGCUAACUCCGUGCCAGCAGCCGCGGUAAUACGGAGGGUGCGAGCGUUAAUCGGAAUUACUGGGCGUAAAGCGCGCGUAGGUGCCUUGAUAAGCCGGUUGUGAAAGCCCCGGGCUCAACCUGGGAACGGCAUCCGGAACUGUCAAGCUAGAGUGCAGGAGAGGAAGGUAGAAUUCCCGGUGUAGCGGUGAAAUGCGUAGAGAUCGGGAGGAAUACCAGUGGCGAAGGCGGCCUUCUGGACUGACACAGACACUGAGGUGCGAAAGCGUGGGUAGCAAACAGGAUUAGAUACCCGGGUAGUC